GAUGAAGAACGGAGCGAAAUGCGAUACUUGGUGUGAAUUGCAGAAUCCCGUGAACCAUCGAGUCUUUGAACGCAAGUUGCGCCCGAAGCCUCGGCUAAGGGCACGUCUGCCUGGGCGUCACGCAUCGCGUCUCCCCCAAACCUCCAAGGCGGAGGGGAAGGAAGAUGGCUUCCCGUGCCUCACCCGGGCGCGGUUGGCCUAAAUUUGGAGCCCGCGGCACUUAGCUCUCGCGGCGAUAGGUGGUGAACAAGGCCUUGGCCGUGCAAACAACCCGCUACGAAUCUCUAUGUCACGUGCGCUCGUCGGACCCUUUGAAGUUGCCUUUGGUGACUUAAAACCUUUGCGACCCCAGGUCAGGCGGGGCUACCCGCUGAAUUUAAGCAUAUCAAUAAGCGGAGGA
rnacentral:misc_RNA from 1 species